UCAGGUCAUUUUGGUUUCUGAGAGCAGCAAACACCAGGCUGGUUUCAGGGUUUGCAAAUCUCCCGAUUCCCAGGCCCAUUGUUUUGGUAUUGCCUCUGUGAAGAACAGCAGCUCUGGCUCUCCUCCCACAGAUUAUCUGGGCAUGCAAAUGACCUCAGACACAUACACUGUCAUUUUCUCAUGCUGUGAUUUUCCUUACACCCCCCUGCGGGACAUGACAAUAAAAUUACCCCUCUUGUUCCUUUCCCACAGACAAUCUUGCAGCGUGUCAGUCAGCGUCACGUGAGCAGUCCCCCAUCCAUUGCUCCUGGGACCCGGGGGGUGAUUUGGAAAGGAUCUGCUGGGCUGUCACUCACCUCCAUCUGCCUUCAGGAGAAGGAUUCUGGGUUCCAUGCUGUUUCCUCUUGUGCCUGUGUGGCUCUUUGAUCACAAUUGGCUUCUCAGGCCUUCAGAAUCACAGCUGCCCUGUAAGGUUUGCCCGUAAUCCUGCUGACAUGUUGUUCCCUGGCAAGCUCUGGGCUUUACUUGCUCCCAAUUUGGGAUUAACUGCUAUUUCUGAUGAUUCUGCUGUUGCCACAGAUGUCCUGUUUCUUACCUGGAUUUCAGAGCUGUUUGGGUCUAAAGUACUCCUGCCCUUCUCUGUCACUGUCAGCUGACCAGCCACAUUUUUACUUCAAGAUUUCAUUAUUGAAUCCAUUUCUCUCUCUCAUUUUUGUCCUCACCGACCCUUGUGCACAACAUACAACCAGACCUGCACCAGGAAUUUGUGUGGAGAGCCUGCAUGAGCCUGCAGCACUCACCAGCACUUGCCAGCAUGGUUCCUGUCUGGAAAACAAAAGCAUCAGAGCUCUGACAUGACAGCAAGAUCUAUGUCAGAUAAACCCAUGUGCUUUCUCAUCUUCCCCCCCGAAAGAUUUCAGACAAGCACUGAAGUUUACACUCCUGGAGCUGAGUUUGAGCUGGUCAAGCCAGGAUCAGAAAUGUUUGCAGGCAGGAAGCUCAGUCCUAGAGAGGUUCUGCUGAUCCCACUGACAUUCUGGCUGGCUGAGAUGUUUGGUUCUUCUGGGAGACCCCUCCAUCCUCUUCCUGGUCAGGAAAGGGACACAACUGGGCUCCUGGAAGAAUGACUGGGUGGAGGGUGAAGCUGAGAGUGGAGUUGUUCUGUGUGUGAGAGUAAAUCUGGAUGAACAUCCCUUUCCCCUUGCUGAGGGAGCACUGCGGUGUCCCUGCCUGCCCUUCACACCAAAUGUGGGGGAAAGGACACUUGGAGCACCUGUACUGAAAGGGAGAAGCUGAAGAAGCCUGUGAGCAUUCCCUGCCUCCUCUGAUCUUAUGCAGAUUCUAAACACAGGUCUGAACGCAAGCUCGAUGGCAACUCUCUGCUCCGUCUGCCGGGGCUCCCGCUCCAACCGCUCCUCUCCAUCCUCCACCUUCUUUUUCCAAAGUAACAAAGCCACUGGAUUUCCUCCCACCCCUUCCCUGCGCCUCCCCUCCCCCUCGCUGGCACCGGGGUUAUUUAUACAGAAUGUGGAAACAAUUUGCAGGAAAGUGAACAAUGUAAGUGGGAGCGAGGGAAGGGAGGCGAGUUUGUAGUGCACGCUGAGAGCCCCAGCAGUGAAACGCUGCUUUUUGGGGAGCACAGGGAGCAGACUGUUUUCCUUUCUUCCUUCUCCCCUCUCUCACCAUCUCCCUGAGCUCCUUCCGUCCUGCUGGAGUCGAGGCCAAACCAGAGCAACCAGAUCUGAGUGCGUUUUGGAGGGCGUUCAGGUUGGAUCCCGCCCUGCAGCGCAGCUCCGUGAGGCUGUGUCUGUACCUAAUCCCCUCGGAGGUUCUGCUCUUGGAUCAUUCCUGCUCCUGGAUUAGCAUUAACGAAGAGCAUGUGUGCUCCAGAGGUCCUGCUCCAGGCCCUGGAGCUGCAGCACUGCCUGGUGUUAGACACAGCUAUUCCCAGGAACAGAGGACAUUUCUGGGAGUGAAUGAGGCAGGAACUUCUUGCAAAGUCUAAUUUCAGUUUUUCUGUCCUCACCUGCUCAGCACUGCAUUUCCAGGGCAUCCCAGCACCUUGCUGGCUCCACUGGAAGUUUGUCUGUAAAUCCAGCAGUUUCCCUGAGUGCUCUGGGCUGGAGAAGGUGAACCAGCACUCACUCAGCAUCUCUGGACAGUUCUGGGCUCUUCAGACCUUGCUCUGCAUAGUGAAGUCCUCAAAGAGAGAUAAUCCAAACCCACACAUCCUUUGGGGAAGGGCCAUAGGCAUUGCAGACAGCAGGAAAUGUUAUCCUGGGUUCCAGGUCAGAGCAGAGCAGCCUCCAGCCCUGGGAUGGGAUCUGUGCAUUGUGCUGAGCUGGUAGGGCAGGGCCAGGAGGCUGCCAAGUAGGACAGUGUGUUCCUCCCUAAACCAGGCAGAUUCCUGGCUGAGAACUGGUGCAGCUGAUCCACUGUGCUCCAGUGGCACUGAGGGACAGUCAGAAGGAACCUCUGGUGGGCUUUUCCUUCCUGAGAAUCCAUCCUUUCCACUUCCCAGUUCCUCCUGCUCCUUCUUGGUCACUGUCCACAGACAGAGUGUGAACUUCCCGUGGAUGUUUGUUCUGUAACCUGACGUGUCUGCUCUCCCACGUGGAAGGGCAGGUGGGUCUGCACAGGCUGGGCCUCCCAAAGCUCAGGGCACAGCAGAGCCUGUUCCAAGUGCUGCUUCCUUUAGCCAGUUCUUGGCUGAGUUCACCACUCCAGGAGUUAAGCCCAGGAAGGGCUGGAGCAAAGACACUUUGGCCACUGAUGUUUUCUGGUCAGGGCAGUUCAGCUCUUUGGGUUCUUCUGAUUCUCACUGACUCUGAGAAGGGCCCAGGAAAACAAUUUCUGUUUUCCCUUCCAAUCCAGGCACCAGCAUGGACUGGGAACAGACAGAACCCAGGCCCAGCAGUGGGGCCCAGCAGAGCUGGGGUGUCACUGGUUCCCACUGCAGCCACUCUGUGUCCUGGAGCACAGCAUGAGCCACAGCCUGGCUGCCUCCCAUCCCUGCUCCUGGCAGGAGCCUGGUGGUGUCUGAGCACCUGCCCAGGCUUGUUCCACACUGUGCUGCCCUGCUGGCAAAGGGAAGGAUAGGAGAGAGCUUGAAUCUAUCAGUCUCUGGAGAGAGAACCCCUCAUGCAGGCUCAGGCAGGAGGGCAGCAGCUCUGCUGCUCAGAGGGGUCUCUGGGCAGACACAGACAUUUCCAGUCUCUCUCUGACUCCCAAGGGUCUCCCCUCAUCUCCUGGAGAGAUACAGCCUUGAGUUGCACUGCAUGGAAAGCUCUCAACUCACUUUUGACAGGUUUGGCAAAGUGGAGGCUUGAAGCUCCUAUAGAGCCUAAACUGCAGAAACCAGAGGGACCAGAGUAAUUUCAGGGCAACAGCCAUUGGAACACUUGUGCUUUUUCCCUUCUGGUUCUAAAUGUUCAAAUUCUCACAAAAAUAUGAGACAAACUCUCCUUAGAAUGACUGUGCUGCUGAAAACAUUUGGAAUUUCUUCUUUCAUCUGGUUCAUCUGGUUCUUUCUUUUUUUUUUUUAAUUAUUUUGAGGGUUCUUUAGAUGAGAACAGAUUUGCAUUCCUCUCUCCCUGCUGCUCACUUCCCACCUGAAAUCUUCGGCUGCUCUUUGCAGUUCCCAACACAAUGGUGAGCAAAAUCCUGAACAGAGCAUUCAAACUUGAGGUGAGGAAAAGCAACAGCAGCAGAUGGGCUUGUAAACAGCAGAGACCUGGCUCAGGCACAGAGGUCCUGGUGGAGCAGGAAGGAGCAGGAGGGUUGGUAAACACAGAGCAAUUUCCAUUUUCUGGGCUGAAAUGUGGGGAUCUGGGGAGGGGAGGGCUGUGGAGGAACAGCAGCUCUCCCAUUCUGGCACAGUCAGCUCUUCCCAGCAGAAGCUGUUCCUGUCAGAACUUGCAGCAAAUGGGAGAAGAUGGGAAAGCGGGGAACGUUUUCCAGCAUCAGGGAAUUUGUGGGUGAUGAAAACAAGAUUUCCAGCAGCCCUUUUGCACUAGGCUUGGUUUCUAAAGAGGUAUCUUGCUGUUUUCCUGCCAUUCUUCCCUUUCCUUGAAUUCCUUCUGAAACUCAGUCACCAGAGUUGGGAGUAACUUCGCCAAUACAAAAUUCCCAAAAGUUACCUGCAAGUUUGCAGCUGGACAGAGGAAAAAGAAACCCAGAGGAGUCCCCAUAGGUGGAAGAAAAAAGCAGAAUAAGGAGGCUCAGAUCCAUAGUUUAUUGAGCCCAGAGGGACUUCUACAAACCACAUGGCAUCAGGUGUCAAAGAAAUGAGGAAUGAAAACCAACGUGGAACAACAGAGCAGCCCAAAACUCCCACAGCCCAGUGAGGCUCCAGAAAGGUUGGAGAGUUAAACAGCCCCUUAAUGUGAAUGGGCUGGCCAUGAGCAGCCUCUCUACCUUGUUCUGUCAGGAGAAAGUCCUGAGUCAUGUCAUGGGUGUUCUUUCCUUGGACAAGGAGACUCUGCACAUCCUGUGGAGUCCCGGAGUCACAGAAACAGAGACUGACGAAAGAUGGUUCUGGGCUGGGAUUUCAGAGAGGUUUGUGCUUGAGCUAGGGUUGAAGGGCUGUUGUUUCUGUUUUUCUUGGGGAUUGGGAGGGGAGAGUUUACUGAGUCCCUGAACCUUAAUGUAACAUGAUUAGAAUCUGGAACAGACUCCAAAACAGACAUUUAGGGACUACUAAAUGUACAAAGCAGCUUGGAUAUCUGUCACCAGAGUUUAUCCAGUCCUGGAAAAAGCCUCUGAAAUGGGCAGUGCUUUAACAAAGUACAGAUGUCUGGGGACUCAAAAUACAAGGGAAAAUUAUGAGGAGGAAGAGAUAACACUUUCUCAAUUUCUUAGAGAGGAAGAAAAUGCCAGAAAGUUAUUAAUUUUAUUCCCAGGACUGUGGUAGCUGGACAAGGAUCCAAGGUUAAGGUGAUCCCCAUGACCUGACACUUGCAGAACAAGUGGGCUCCCUGCAUCCUGGCACGAGGAGUUCUAGGGAGAUCUGUAAUCCCCAGUAAUAACCUCAGAGGUUAAUUGGUGUCUGGAAAUGAGUUUAUUAGGUAGGUGGGCUGGAGGGGGUUUAAUUAUGUGUUUAGAUCAGCGUUGCUUCAAGCAUUAAUUUUGCCUGGGAAAGGAGGGUGUAAUGUCAGGAGCAACACUUUCACACUGCUUAGAUUGAGCCAGGGGGGACUGGAGAGAGCCCCUGGACUGUUGGGGAGGAUGGGAACGAGCUCUGAGCAAAAGCAUCUCUUUGUUGUUUUGGGCCAAAAUUCCCUGGACUUCGUGUAAGGCCCAACUCCCUGAGAAUGGCACUCAGCAGUUUUUGGACAGUCAGGCUGUCAGAAGGAAUCCCUCUGAAAUACACAUCAGAUUUCUUUUUUUGGGCCUUAUUUCUCUUUUCUGCUUUGUGUCAUAUUCUCCUCGUAGCUUUCCAGAGCAGAGUUCCUCUUCCACUUGUUCCCUUUUGCCUCCUGCUGAGUCAAUUCCUUUAUUUUCCAACAUUAGUUGUACUGUAGUCACUCCCAGAAUCUGGGAAAUCAUCCUCAGAAGUCUCCCCAUCUCCUGAGCUUACUGCCAACUCUCCCACUAAAGCUUUGAAUUCUUUGUUAUAAAGAAGAAUAAAAGGCCACCAAAGUGCACCUCGACACCCA